rnacentral:lncRNA from 1 species
AAAUCAACCUUUAAAUUCAGGCAAUGUAAGAUUACAUCAUUAACAACCACCAAGUGUAAAAUUUGAGCAAUAAUACAUCUACACACAUACUACAUGAAUUGAAGAUGAUAGACUAAAAACUCAACUAGUGGAUUUUUUCCCACAGGUUAUAUAAAAAGUUCUCUCCAAAAUUCCGUGAUCCAAUCCAAUUCUUCCUAAUAAAGUUUUCAUAUAUGCAAAUGUCAUUUUUCCUAUAAAAUCUUUGUCCAUCAUAGCUUCUGAAUGAACAAAGGUAAGAACCAUGUAUUGCAAAUCACAUGCUAAUUCACAACACUCCUAGUACAAUAAAGAUGGAUGAAGCUGGAAGAUGCACAAGAAGGAAUCUCCUUUUCAUCAAUUUGAGCAUCUAGAUCAUACAAACAAUGAAAUAUACUUCAAAGGAAGUAAUCUGGCGCGGGUCUCUUUGCAGGUGCCCCCCUUGAUUCCUGAGUUUCAACAAAAUUUGAAAAUUUUAAAAUCAAUUUUGCCAAAUUAACACAAUUUUCUAAAGUAUCAUCAUAACCUAGCGAAUAAUAUGGACCACAAAUUGUUUUCUUAAACAUGCAAAGAUAGUGCAGUCCAGAUGAAAAACUAGUCAUAUUAUUGUGCAUUUGGUUCCAUGUUUGGGAGCCUCAGAAUCAAUUCUCAGGGACCAAAAUCACUUUUAGGUAUUAUGUAAAUGUUUGGGAAUAGACAAAAAGAAUUUAUUUUAGUCCCAAAAUCGAUUAUGCAGAGAGGCUAGAGAGAGUAGCUUAUGCGACGGACAUAAUCAAUUGUGGGAUUUCAUAACUUGAUUUCACAAUAUUACCCUAUAGAAAUAAUUUUUCCCAUAAACGUAUCCAAACAUAAAUCACUUUACUUUCAACUCACUUUAACUAUAAUCAAUUUAACCAAAAUCAAAUACGGUAACAUUGAUCCAAACACGCACUUAGUAACACACUAUUCACCACAUGAAUCAAAGGAUUUGUCAUAAAGGGUGAGGCUCAAAUUGCUACUAUUUAAGGAAACCAGAAUCCAGGUAAUCAAUAUCAAGUGCUUUUGCUGACAAACCUGUGGGGCAGCAUCAAACACACGGAACUGCUUAUUAAGAUUUCCAUCCAACUCCAGAAUAGCAGCUACAUUACCACAUCUGUAACAAAGAUAAAAAUGUAUAAUUAAAAACGUCAGAGCACAAGUAAUGAUGGACUUUGAUUGGUUUUGUACCUGUAACAAUAAUUUGGAGCUGACCAGACAGUAACUAUCUGGUUAUUGAACAUCCAUUUAUAACCUUCCAUUACCAACUGAUGAGCACGGCAUAUAUAGUCAAUGUUAUUGGAGUGGUUAAAGGAAGUAACAACGCUGCCACCAAAUAAGAAACCAGCACCACGGGGACUCAGACCCCAUCCAUCCACAAUAUCUUCAGGAUCUGACCAUAGGAGGUCACACAUAGCACCAUCAUGAGGUACCUCUUGCUUCCGAUCAAUAGUUCGUAUCUGGAUAUUAAUAAUAGAUAAUGUAUAUAAUGUCCGCUAAUAAUUUACAAUCUAAAACCUCAGAGACAAAUAAAUUAAGGUGGAAUUUAUAACCUGAUCCAAUGUUGAAAUGGCAGGAGAAAGACCACCAUGAACACUGAAAAUCUUGUUUUCAAUUAGGGCGGACAAGCUGCAUUUUUCCAUUUGUCAACAUAGGAAAGCCAAUAGUGGAGGGGCCUAGUUUUCACAAAUUGAAACAUAAGGGAGCAAAUUCGCUCAUUUUAAACAUGGGGGAGGGACUUCGCACAAUGGUGAAAGAUGAGGGAGUAAAUGUGCAAUUAAGCCUUUUGAUUAUUUGUCCCCUAUUUAGAGCUGGGUACGCGGGUGGACCGCCCCGCGCAGGCCCGCCCCGCACAAGCUCGCCCCGCGUUGGCUCGCCCCGCGUAGACCCGCAUUUUAGCGGUCCUCUAUUUUCCGGGCUAUAGCCCGCACUAGUCCGCGGUUUCGCAGGCCGAUUCGCGGGCUUUGGCCUCUCUCACCCCCUUUUUUGCCCUCGUAGGCCCGCCCCGCAUUGACCCGCCCCGCGCUGGCCCGCUCCGCGUAGGCCCGCAUUUUAACGGUCCUCUAUUUUCCGGGCUAUAGCCCGCACUAGUCCGCGGUCACGCGGGCCGGCCCGCGGACUUCGACCCGCUUACCCAGCUCUACCCCUAUUAAAUGACCUCUCCAAAGUAUAAUUCAUGCACAGCUCAUUAUAAAGGAGCUAUGGAUCAACCAAAAGCCCACAACAAUGAAUCAAUUUAAACGGCCAUAUUCAGAUGCAAAAGAAAAAGAAAAAUUGUUUUCACAAAGGGAAUUAGUCAAUGCAUUUAUGAUGGGAGGAAACAUGUUUACGAAUUAAGCCUUCAAUUUCGCUUACUGAGAAAUUAUGUUACGUUUUAUAAAGAAAAAUAAUAACCAUGGUAGACUUUUUUAUAAAACGUAACAUAAAUUCACGUUUUUUUGAAAAGUAUUGGAAGAACAAUAAUUAAAUGAAUUGACUUAUUUUGGUGUGUGGUCCACUUUUUUUGGCGUAAAUAUCCUCGACCUUUUAAAGCCUAAUUUAAUACUUUACGAGGUUUGACUUUUUUCAUUUAUAACUAAUAAGUAAUUCCAUUAUUUAUGUGGCUCUGCAAAAGAAAUAAUGGAAUUAAUUUUCAAAUAAGUUGCACUCUUUCCAAUAGAAAUUACUGAUUUCCUGUAAUAACAUAAAUCAGCCAAAAUGGAAUAUCAUGUAUAUAAGGAAAAUUUGUGACCACUGUUUUAUUACCGCACAAUCAUAGGAAAAAAUUUCAAAUAGUUAACCCUAAUUUCAGACUAUAUAUACCCCCUUAUGUGACAUUUCUCCUCCAACAUUCCCGGCAUUUCCCAUCAUUCCUUACAUAUUUCAAAUUAACCUUUUUUCUGAUGGCUUCAAGAAUUGACGAUCUGACCAAAAUAGAUGUCUCCAAAGAAACUUGGGCAAUUGUUGUGAAAGUCAAUCAUUUAUGGCUAAGUCUGAGCUUAUAUGGCUCAAAGCUACCCUUUUCAAUGGACAUGAUACUUAUGAAUGACAAGGUAUACAACUUUUUUGCAAAAAUCACUCAUUUUUAAUUUAAUCUUUUGAAUGCAAUCAUAAAUUUCUUAGUUUGUUUACUUUUAAAGUUUCAGGGCUGCAAGAUUCAUGCUACUAUUAGGAAGACUUUGAUUUAUCAAUUUCAGUCUUUGCUAACUGAAGGAAAAGUAUACCAGAUUUGUUCUUUGGUGUUGGCGAAAGCGGAUGUGAUUUUCGCCCAACCGAUCAUUCAUUCAAGAUCAACUUUGAUAUUCAGACUUCUGUACGACUGCUUCCUAACAAGUCUAUCAACAUGACGACGUACUCUUUCGUUCCACUUACUGACAUAAUGUAUAAGGACCAUGUUCAUUACAGACUUAUGUUUUGCAAUGACUAUAAAUAAAUGUCAGGGACAAUCUUUAUCUCAUGUUGGAUUGUAUUUGCCAAGGCCUAUCUUUACUCAUGGACAAUUAUAUGUUGCACUAUCAAGAGUUAAAUCUAGAAAAGGUUUGAAGAUACUAAUCCUAAAUGACCAAGGAGUAGUUUUUAACACUACCCGCAACGUUGUCUAUCAAGAAGUCUUUGAAAAUAUUUGAUAUGUAAGUUCUGUUUUUUACUACAAUUUUGUUGGGUUUAUAUUUUUUAAAAUACCUAAUCUGAUAUGUCUUUGUUUUAAUUGUUGACAGUAUAAAUAAAUGUCAAAAGCUGAUUGGUCAUCUAACUUGAAGGAUUAUUCCGUUGCUAUAAGGUUUGUUUUCAAUUUUCAAAUGAUAUAUCAAGUUCAUCUUUGUAUUGCUUACUAAUUAUUACUAUGAUAUCUACUUUUUUCAUUGUAGGUUAUGAUGCUCAAAUAUUGAAUUGGUAGCAAAAUUCAACUUCAAGUCUCUGAAGUCAUUAUCACUGAACAUGAACAACAAGUUCUAUUAAGCGAUCAUGUUGUUGAUAUUUUUUUGAUAUUUUAAUUUUUUUGUUUUUUCAACGCAUUCCGUAAAAACUUGGAUUUAUAAUAUUGUUCAUGCAUUCCCCCGAAUAGGCCAUACAACGAAUUCUAUUUAACAUUUUUACGUUGAUCUAUACACAUACAUGUUUGAACCUAUUCUCUGUUAUAUUAUAUUCUACAGAUUUAUUUACACAAUAAAUUUAAUCGCCGUGCAACGCACCGGUGAAAAUGACUAGUAUUUAUAAUAAACUAACCUACUAAGAAAAUAACUCUAGCCUAACAUAGGCUAAACUCUAAUAAUAAAAACUGGCCUCAGUACCAAACCGUACUAACUAUCUAAGAGAUAGAUAAAAUCAAACCUAGACCCAAAUACAUUAAGCCCACUCACUAUAAUUUAGAAGUCUAACAUUUAUCUUGAUUUACUUCUGACUGCUUAAAAAAAAUAAUGGCCGAUGGGUAGUCUUUAUCAACUUUGGCCGGCCCAAAUGGAAAACAAUUCACACUCUUGUUGCAAUAGUAAUACUUUUUCCAAUUUCAAAAAAAAGUAAUACUUUUUCCAACUUUUAUUGGUUAAAUCCAUGUGAAAUUAAUCUACUAAACUGUAACCAAAAAAUAAAUCUACUAAACUAAAUGGAUUUAACUCUUAAUUUAAAAGUUUCUGUCUUUAUUUGGUGGGGCCUAACCCAUAAAUAAAUAAGUGUAACACUUACCUAUCUUAAGUUAUAGACAUGCUAACACACAUCAUUUUAGUUUUAUCCCCACAUUCAAAAGCAUGGAAGAGAUAUAGAUGUUGUAGUUCCUUUGAUUGGCUGCAUUUUGCUCAAAACAUGAUGUGCAACCAUAUGUUCCGACAUCUGGAGCAACAUGUUGCGUUUACGUAUGUUGGUAGUUCAAUCACUGAAAUCAAGUUGUUUGUUGGGCUGCUGACUGUAUGGUGAUUCAGAAGAAUUAUUCUAUGUUGUGUGUUUUAUCUUCUGGAGGCGUGUUUGUUUUAAUCUUGGCUGAAGUAACAAGAUUGAUAACGUGUGAACCAAGUAUAUCUUAAAGUUUGAAUUUAAACUUACUUGGUUCUGUUAUUUUAUUCUGGUAAGAUUUGAUUCCUUGAAGAUUCUUUCCAGAAGUGCUGUUGUGGACUCUAUGUCGUUUGGCCCAUUGAAGAUCCAAGCCUCACGUGAACGUAUAUAUAAAGGAGUUUAUAAACCCUAGCAAAACGGGGAUUCUGAGCGUAAAAUAUUGAGUUUAGGGUUUAUUAUUUUGUGAGUCCUGUUGUGAGUAUUGUAACAACUUAGUGCUUCCUGUGCUAUUGCAAGUACUAAGUUGAUAUGUUUAGUUGAGUGCUAGUAUCAGCAAACUUGUUAUUGCUUUUGACAAGUGUGAUCACUGAGGCAGUGAUUGAGAGAAAGAGAGAAGGGUUUCUCAUACUUUGGGGGAGACUUAAGUAUUAAGCCACUGGUAGCAAUAGGUAGAAAGGUUAGAGUCGUGGUUGUUCUUGGUGAACCUUUUGUACGUGCUUGACUAUUAUAGUGGAUUAUCUUUCUCGGGCUGUAGCCCUCCAAACGUAGGUGAUGUUCACCGAACUGGGUUAACAACUCCUUGUGUUCGUUUGUUUAACUGUUUGUUUAUUUUUGAUACUCUGAUUAUGUUUUGUUGUGUUACACAUUGUUGCAACAUUGUGUAUCACAUCUGUCCUAGGUGAAUACGAAUUUCAGAUGUACAUUUUAGAAAAACAUUCUUUCUUACCAAAGUAAUAUUUUGCAUAAAUUUACAAAUAAAAAUAUCAAUCUCUUGGUUCAAAUAAUAACAGAGAGCCUCUAUGGCAUUCCCGUAAAGAGGAUUGACUGUUGGCAAAACUUUUCACAAGUCACCCUCAAGAUAGAUGAUGUAUAUAGAGGGUUAAAUCCAACCAAAACCAGAAAGAUUUGGCAAUGGGAUUCUCUUAUGUAACUCCAAAGUCAGGUAUGGUUAUGAGAUUGUAAUGAAUUGUCAAGGGUUGCUUUUCAACAGCAGAAGCAUCUUCCAGCCUGAAAUAAAAUAUUAUGAUUAUUAACAUAAUAUCUUCAACUAUUAAUAAAUAUAUAUGCAGGGGCACGAAAUGUAAGUCAAGUUUUUUCCCUUUAGAAGAGAAAUUGACUCAUAUGAACCGAGGAAAUCAAGGAAUAUAGUUUUAUAUUCCCCCAUAAUUCUUUUUGUUAAUGAGGCUAGAUACUCUUCUCUGUCUUUCCAGAUUCAUGUCAUACUUACUAUGGCAUAAAGAUAUAGUAUUAGAGAACAAUUAAAAUUUAAAAUUAUUCUUAGGAGUUAACACUACCCUAAAAGCUAGUUUAGGAGUAGAGUCAUAACCUCAAUUUUAAGAUGAGAUAAGAGUUUAUUCUAUAUCAUUUUAUUGGGUCAUCCGUACAUGAGUCAUCCGUUGAUAUCCGAUCCUACAAAUUUUACGCUCUAGAUGUCCAGUCAUAUGCGUUGGGUGUUAAGGUCUCAUAUUAACUAAAAACAUGACUAAAAUAAUUAUUAUAAAGGGAAGAACAAUCAUCACCCCUAAGCUAGAUUUUAGAGUAGUGUUAGUUAGUUCUGCCUCAAAUUUUAAAGAAAUAACUCUAGAAUUACAAAUUUUACACUCCACAUGUGCUUUAACCUCUGUAACUAUAGCAUAAUUCUUUUUAUUUUUAUUUUUAUUUUUAUUUUUAAUUUCCAUGCAAGCUUGAGAUCAGAAAUUGCAUUUCAAAGAAAUAAGAAAUUAUGAGGUGGAACUUCUUUUUUUUUUAUGAGUGGAACUUUAAACCAAUUAAUGCAAAGUGCAAACAAAGACUUCCAAGUCAAUAUAUGAAUGGAAGUUUGUGGGAUGACCUCAUAGCGUCAUAGAUGGGCUAGAAAAAUAAUCACAUGUUUUGUUUCCAUGCGGGUCACUAAUGAAUAUUAGUUGUUCUUGUAUAUUCAUAUGUGAAAACUAAGACUAAUAUCUAAAGAUGAUUAUGGUGACAACGAUCUAUUAAAAUUAAAUUAAAUUCAAUAAAUUGUGAUAUUUUCUCUGCACCUUCAUGUGUCAUUUCAGAAUUCCAUCGGUCUUUGCAAUAGAAACUUAAAGGUUUAAACAAAUCAAUACAAACAAAGACUUCCAAGUCAAUGCAAAUGGAAGCAUGUGGGAUGAGUAUGACCUCAAUCAAUAACGUUAUGGAUGGGCUAGAAAAAUUGAAUCAAUCAUGUUUUAUUUCCAUGUAGGACACAGAAGAAAAACCAUCCAUCAAACUAAAGCUUAAGUUUGCAGCCACAAAAACUCUUAUCUUUCUGUUUUCAAUUUGGUUAUAAAUAUUUAUCAGUAUGACUCCUUACCAUUCAUUCCAUGCUCAAUACUAAAUCACAAACACUUGUCACACAUACUCAUGGGGCAUCUCUCAUUGUUAUUUGGAAUCAUUCUGUGUUUGCUUUUUGAAUUUCCAUCCUUAUGUUUCACGUCUUCACAUUCCUUAUCAUGUCUUCCCGACCAAAGCUCUGCCUUGCUUCAAUUUAAGGCUUCCUUCACCAUUGGUGCUUCUUUUGCACCUUUACUCUUUGAUGUGCGAGAGACUUAUGCUUAUCUAGAUAAGACAGCAACAUGGGAAAAUGGAACAGAUUGCUGCUCAUGGCUUGGUGUCACGUGUGACCGCGUCUCUGGUCACGUGAUUGGCCUCGACCUCAGCUGUGCAGGGCUUGAAGGUAAAAUCCAUCCCAAUAGUACCCUUUUCCAUCUUACUCAUCUUCAGACACUCAACCUUGCUUUCAAUGAUUUCUACUUUUCGCCUUUAUCAUCCCAGUUUGGUAGUCUUGUGAGUCUCACACACCUCAACUUGAGUGCUUCUCACUUGGAAGGUGAAAUUCCUUCCCAAAUAUCACACCUUUCCAAAUUAGCCUUACUGGAUCUCUCUAGCAGUCAUGGAUUAAAGUGGAAAGAAACCACUUGGAGGAGGCUGGUGAAAAAUGCAACAUCUUUGAGGGAACUUGUUAUGGAUGGAACAAAUAUGUCUUCAAUUAGGCUACUCAAUAUGUCUUCCUCUUUGGUUACUCUUAGUCUUUCAGCAACUGGAUUAAGGGUAAACUUGGCAAGUGACAUUUUUUGUUUACCAAAUCUUCAACACCUAUACUUUUCCUGUAAUCCAGUCUUUCAAGGCCAACUUCCAAAAUUGAGUUGUAGCAGCUCUUCUCUCAGUGUCUUGGAUCUUUCAGCAUGUGAACUCCAAGGUUCGAUCCCUCCCUCUUUCUCUAACCUCUCACACCUUACAUCCUUGACUCUCUCUGACAACAACAUCAAUGGUUCAAUUCCAUCCUCACUUUUAACCCUUCCAUCUCUAACUUCUUUGGAUCUCAGUUCGAAUGAUCUUAGUGGCCAAAUCCCAGAUGUUUUUCCUAAGUCAAACAGAUUUCAAGAAUUACAAUUGAGGGAAAACAAAAUAGGAGGGGUGUUGCCACUAUCACUGUCAAACCUUCACCAUCUCAUUCUCUUGGGCCUUUCAUACAACAAAUUUAGCGGUCAAAUCCCAAAUGUGUUUGGUGGGCUAACCAAAUUGAAAACACUCGACCUUGGAUAUAAUAAUUUCAGAGGACAAAUCCCAUCUUCUUUGUUUGACUUGACUCAACUUUCUUACUUGGACUGUUCUUCUAAUAAACUAGAAGGUCCUCUGCCCAAGAAGAUAACAGGGCUUUCAAACCUAACUAUAAGUGCAAUCUCAUCAUAUUCAUUAAAGUAUCUAUAUUUGUCCUACAACAAGCUACACGGAAACAUUCCAGAUUCAAUUUUCAACCUUAUGAAUCUAAGAGGCUUAGGUCUAUCAUCAAACAACUUGAGUGGGCACCUCAAUUUCCAACUUUUCUCCAAGCUUGAAAAUCUGGAACAACUUUCCCUUUCUUGGAACUAUGAGUUAUCACUCAACUUCAGAUCUGAAAUCAAUUAUAGUUUCUCUAAUCUACGACAACUGGAGUUAUCUUCUGUCAGUUUACUUGAAACACAUUCAUUAAAUUUCUUGAGCUACUCUCAAAACUUGUUGACAUUUCUACGUUACCUUGAUCUAAGUUUCAACCAACUAGAAGGUGACAUCUCUACGUCAAUUUGCAAUGCAAGUAAACUUGAGGUUCUCAAAUUAUCUCAUAACAAGUUCACAGGCAGCAUCCCACAGUGCCUUGGACAAUUACCAUGCCUUGAAGUUUUAGAUCUGAAAAUGAACAAACUUCAUGGCACUUUGCCGAGUAACUUUUCAAAGGAAAAUGAGCUUAGGUCUCUAAAUUUCAAUGGAAACCAAUUGGAAGGUCCUCUGCCUGAAUCUUUGUCACACUGCACAAUGUUGGAGUUUUUGGAUCUUGGAAACAACCAAAUAGAGGAUACAUUUCCCCAUUGGCUUCAAUCUCUGCCAAAUUUGGAAGUACUAGUUUUGCGAGACAAUAAGUUUCAUGGUCUCAUUGCUGGUUUAAAAACUAAGGAUCCAUUUCCAAGUUUAAUGAUUUUUGACAUCUCAUGCAAUAACUUGAGUGGACCAAUACCAAAAGCCUAUAUCGAGAAUUUUGAAGCCAUGAAGUAUGACAUUAGAGAUGAGAAUUUUAAAUACAUGGAAACAUCCCCAGUUUAUGGAGGUGCAUACUUUUCUGAUACUGUGACAGUAACACUAAAAGAGAACACCAUCACUUUCAUGAAAAUUCCAACCAUCUUUGCACAUGUUGAUUUAUCAAAAAACAUGUUCGAUGGAGAGAUUCCAGAUGUUAUUGGACAACUUCAUGCGCUCAAAGGGCUCAACCUUUCUUAUAACAGGCUCAUUGGUCCUAUACCCCGAUCCAUGGGAAACUUGAAAAACUUGGAAUCACUGGAUCUCUCCUCAAAUGUGCUUACUGGUGGGAUUCCUACAGAACUAACCAAUAUGAACUCUCUUGAGGUUCUGAAUCUUGCAUACAAUCAUCUAGUUGGAGAGAUACCUCUAGGAAAGCAGUUCAAUACAUUUUCAAAUGUUUCCUAUGAGGGGAACUUGGGGUUAUGUGGAUUACCAUUGUCAAAAAAAUGCCACGUGAGCCCAGAACAACAUUCUCCACCUUCACCAAUCUUGUUGAAGGAAGAGAAGUUCGGAUUUGGUUGGAAACCAGUGGCCAUAGGAUAUGGAUGUGGAAUGGUAUUUGGAAUUGGCUUGGGAUGUUGUGUAUUCUCACUUGGAAAGCCUCAAUGGCUUGUCAGGAUGUUCGGUGGUCAACCAAAUAAGAAGCUGAAAAGGAGGACAAAGAGGAGGACUCAUGGAACAAUGAAUCAACUGGUGCAGAUGUCAUAACCUUGUAAGUUGUAGCAACUAUUUUCUCUUUUACUUUUAUCUACUAUUCUCAAAAAAAUAAAGAAGCUUUAGAGUUUUUGUCACUCUUUUUUAUGUAAUUUGACUUUGGGUUGUGAGUUUGUAAUAUGAAUGUAAGUUCUAUAAAAUAUAGUAAGAUUACUUUCAUGCAUUUUAAGUGAGAUUUUAUCAGAAUUUGGGUCUGUGUUAAGUUUUGCUUCCUCAAUUAAGUGUGUAUUUGAAAACUCAGCAGAUUCCUACAUGCAGGGUAGAAAGGUUCUAGAAUAAGCAACUAGGAGUAGUUUUCCUUAUUCUAAGUGAUUCUGGGAAUUUUAAACGUAAGAAAAAAUGUACUUUAAAACAUUGUUAAACUUCAAUAUGCUUAAUCUGGACACCGGUCAAGACACACCUAAGUCUAGCAGACAAGACUUCUAAAUCAAUGCAAAUGGUUGUACUGGAAUUCACUUAAAAAAUGUUAUGGAUGGGAUAGAAAAUGAAAAAUACUGUUUCCUUUUUUAUUGGAUUGGAAACUUGAAGUUUAGAGAUAUGGUUUUUCCACAAAAGCUUUGAAAUGAUAAAGCUGUUUUAUUUUCUGCAAACUUGGUUAAUGAUCUACCUACGUAAUUCCAAAAAUCCCAUUAACUUAAAUCAUCUUGUAGAAUCACUUUCUAAGUACAUGCUUGAAUACACGGUGAAAAACCACAGUGGACAGCCCCAAAAGCUAAUAGAAGUUGCUUUUGUCCACUGUGAUUUUAGCUCACCGUGGUUUUCCCAUGUAUACAAACAUGCACUGAAUUAUUUAGCUAUGUUUGAAGAGUACAGCUUGAGUUCCAGUUCUGGUUAAUUUAAAAAUAUCUGAUAAAAAUGUCAUAUCCAAGGCAUGCUAUACUUUUGUAACCUGCCAUCACACAAUUUGUAGUUUUUUCCUACAUUCAAAAGUAGGGCAGAGAAAAAAAUGUUUAUUUCUGAAAAGUGUUCCUUCUUACAUAAGUAAUAGCAUUAUUUGCAUAAAUUUACAAAUAAAAAUAUCAACCUCUUGUUCAAAUAAUAACUAAGAGCCUCUACAGCAUUCCCAAAAGGAGGAUUCACUGUUGACAAUUUUUCAACAACACAGGACAGAGUAAUGUCUAAAGGACUAAACCCAAAGCUACACCAAAGAGGGAAUAUAUACAAGAAGCUGAUUCCAAGAUAGCAAUCUUAACAAUAACUAGUUAUUCAUUCCCUUAUUAAUAAAGUACACUCUGAGAAAAACUUUGUGAUACAUUAGAUGCAAGCUGUGUAAGAUAGUAGUCUCCUGAGAAGGAAACGUCACUAAACACUCCAAUCCAUGGUGGAGAAUACAAGAUACGAGCAUUCUCAAGGGAAAACCCAUUAAGAUUUGGCAGUGGAAUUCCCUUCUGUAACUGCAAAUUCAGGUAUGGUAUGAGCACAGUUUUGAGGAUACUUGACGUUAGUGACUGCAAAUGUUUAAAGUUAAAGGGUAAGAUUAAUAAUAAUCUGGAUAUAUACAAUAACUAAGGUUUAACAAGCAUAUAUACAUAGAAAUUAGAAUGGUUGUGCAUGCACAUUUCAAUUUCAUAUUCUAACUUACCUGAAUUGUAUGCAUGUGCAGUUUCCCUAUUUUGCUCCAUCUUAAGUAUGUAGAAAAUUUCCUUAGUUUAAGCCAACCAGCAAGAUUGUUUCCUAUGACUCCCACAGCAAACGUAGCACUAAUUUCCUGUAUCAGAAACAAGCAAGAUUAAUGGGACAUGUUAUGAUAAUGAUCAUGUCAUCAUCAUAACCUCUUUAACUAACAAAAGAAAUAGAAUCUGAUAAGUAGGAUUAGGAUCUUAGGCAUAACAUGAAAAGAUUGGCAACUCGAAAAAUUGUCAGAAGAAGAUCAGAAUGAGGCUAGUAUAUGACAAUCUGAUGACAAAAAGGGAGAAAAGCUUGAAUUCCAUAUAUAGCUUAGACAAAAUGUAGAAAAGGGGUACAUUAUGAAGGAUACUUGUUAGAAGUAUAAUAUAAAAGCAUCAGGUGUCUUCACCCAAUAACCUAAACUUUUGGAACAGUUAGUUCAUGACAUGGUAUCAGAGUUUGUACUCUAUAUGACCAUGUAGUCCAGAGCAUUGUCAUCCUUCAGGCCCAAUAAGCUCUUGCGUAAGGGGACGCGUUAGAAGUACAAUAUAAAAUCAUUCAUGUAUCUUCACUCAACAGCUUAAGUUUUUAGGAUAGUUGGUAGCUAAAUCAAUGUAAGAUUCAAAAAAAAAUUAAACUAUCCUUAAGUAUAUUGAGUUAAUUAAGCAUACCACUGAGAUGCAUGCAACAGGAAUCACUUCAUGAGCUUCCAGAACAUCAAUUAUUAUAUCUGUCAAAAUGGUAGCACCAAUAUCUUGAUCUGACACUUCUAUAACUGGUGGAGAGGUUAUAGAGACAUUAAGAUUCAUGUCAUCAUUUGGAUAUAGCUUGUAUAAUUGCGGAAUAAGGAUUUUCCAUUCAGCAGUGUUCAAAAACGCCUGAUCAGGUAGUUCAUCAACAAUCCAUUGCAACUUAUCUGCCUGAGCACAAGAACAACAUGAACUAUCAAAACUAUAAUUCAGUCUUUAAUAAUGCAAAAGCAUCCAAUAAGAUUUUUGAAGUGAAAAUAGUUAACUGGUGCCACCCAAUUAGUAAUGCCAUGACUGAAUCAGAAACAAGUCAUGAGAAAUAUUAAGGUAGAAGCUAUGCAACAAGUACUAAGAAGCUAUUAUACAUCAUGGAGAAAGAUUAACUUAAAAAAAGGGAAAACUCCAGUAAUUGGACUAAGAAACCGUUUGGAUGCAGACAAAAAAGCACUUAUUGGAGGUAAUCUAGUGCUUUUCCUAGUAGAUAAGCUUCAAUAAGUGCUCUUUAGUCCGCAUCCAAACAAAGUCUAAAGCAUGCAAAACAAUAAACUGAAAAUUUCAGAAACUUACAUUGAAGUAAACUAUGGAAGCUGAUUUGAAAACAUUUUCAUGUAAUGAAAUCUUUAUCAUCUUUGGUACACUACCAUAGGAAACAGAAACUUCUGAUCUUUUGUGGUAUUCUUCAGUUACUAAAACAUCGUUUCUCCCUGUGAAUAAGCCAUUAAUUGCAAGUUCAACAGAAGAAUUACUCAGAACAGGAUUGUCCACAAAAGAAACAUUUAGAACAGCAGUUUUGUCUAAUGAGAUUGUCUUCGGAAGAGAUUGUAAUGAAUUGUCAAGGGUUGCUAUCCCUUCUGUUAUUUUCUUAGAAAUGGCCUUUUCAACAGCAGAUGCUAUGUUCCCUUCAAAAGCAUCUACAAGCCUGCAAUAAAAAAAGUAUUCUUAAAACAAUAUCCUCAACUAUUAACAAAUAUAUAUACAGGGGCACAAAAUGUAAGUCAAGUUUUGUCCCUUUCGAAGAGAAAUUGACUCAUAUGAACCGAGGAAAUAUAGCUUUAUAUUCCCCCAUUUUUGUUAUUGAGUGCGUGCUUCGAUUAGUGUUGUCAGAGUUGGUUUUGGAUAGUAUUGAUUAUGGUAAACGCGAGUUAAAGAGAGUUGAAAGUGAAGUGAUAUAUGUUUGGAUAUAUUUUUGGGACAAGUUAUUUCUAUACAGUAAUGUUGUGAAAUACAGUUAUGAGAUCUCAUAAUUGAUUAUGGCCACUGCAGAAGCUACUCUCUCUAGCUUCUCCGCAGAUCGAUUCUUUAAGUCGACUGUCAAACAUCUAUAUAACCAUCUAAAAGUGGUUCAGGUCAAUGAGAAUUGAUUCUAGGGCUCCCAAACGUGACACUCUUCUCUGCCUCCCAGUUUCAUGUCAUAUUUACUGAAGCAUUGAGUAUUAGAGAACAAAAUUGAAAAAUAGCUCUGGGAUUAUAAUUGAUUGUCAAUGUUUUCCCUAUGUAAAUGUAGAAACCAAUCCGCAGUAAAAGAUCACCAUUCUAUAGAAUAUAGCAUGAGUGAAGAGCUCACAGAAUCAUAAAACAUGUUUUAAGAAAACUGCUUACACUUGGUAAAGCCAAGCUGCUCCACCGUUCAACUUUAUAGUCAAAUCUCCUACAUGGCAUCCAUAAUCUAAGAGGUUCAACUUAAGCGUUCCUUCUUGGUUCCUCAAAUUUACAGUAAGCCCCACUUGCAAAUCUUCAACCUUUCAAAAACAUAGCACAACACAACUAAGUAAGCGAUAUCAUUGACUGAACAGGGGAAAAAACAACUAUCUGCAUUAAAAGUAAAUUAUUCUUACAGGUUUUUGCCUAUCGGAUACUAAAAUACAUGUCUUGUAAAGUUUAACUAUUAACCAUAUACCUUUUUUUUUAAUAUCUUUACUUUCAAUUAUAUCAACUUGGAUAUGCUUCUAAAAGUUGAUCUAGUUCCAGAUGCAGGAAGGGGGAAAAUGCAAAAUCAACAAUAACCUCUUUAUAGCUUCCCUAGGACAACCAGGCUAACCAAAUUCAUAAUGUACUUGGAUCCACGGUUAAACUUUCCAGAAUCUUUUCUUCCCUCAACAUGGAAACCUACCGAAUUUCCAAACACACAAUUGACCAAAACAACCUACUUAUGGAAAACAUGUAUUAUUUAGUUCAAGGUCAAACCUUCUUUAGUUAAAGCACAAAGAAACUAUGUAAACUAUAAGCCAUCAAAACAAAACAGCUUUAGAGAAAGAUAAAUGGGAUUUAACACCUCUAACGUAAGCUAAUCGCUUUAAAGAGUAAAGUAAGUCAUAAUGACUACUGAUUGAGCAAUUAACUUCAUAUUCGAUAGUACAUAUGCAAAUGCAAAUAUAUAAUCACAAUAUAAGUUGUAAUUGCUUACUUCACUCUCUAAAAUCACUCCCUCACAUUAGAGGAGUUGAAUCCAGAUAAAAAGGAUUGCACCAAGUCCAAAACUGAGUAGUAUUAUUAAGUAUACCUUCACAGUAGCUGUUCCACUAUCUGAAAUUCCAACUGGGACUAACCAACUGCUGCAAGUGUACCUCCACUUCAGGGUCAGAUUAGCAGUUGCACCUGAAAUGACAAGAACAAUUCCUGUGUCUCCUGUGUUAACAGAUGAAGAACUAACUUGGAUAUCGUUGAUUGUGAUAUCAGAAAGAAUCACGUUAGCUUUUCCAACAAGUGGAACUUUGACAGUCUUCUCAAUUUCUGGCAGCUGAGAUUGAACUAUAGAGGCAACAGCCUUGUCUAUCACAAAAUCCUUAGCAAAAUCAAGGCCCUUAUCAGAUAUCACCACAGAGAUGAAACCCUCAUCUUCAUUAUGCUGGACACCGCCACAAGUUGAAAUGAACAACAAUAUAAGAAAGGAAAGAAUUCUGGGUGCCAUGAAUUUUUUUCCACUUGUUAAGGGAUGAUGAUCAUUGAUCAAGCACACAUCAACAUGUUAAGGGGAAAGAUUAGAAUUUUAAGAUACCCAUUAGAUGAAAGUUUCAGGAUUUGAGCUGAGUUUUCUGAAGAACAACGACAAGACAAACUGUGAAUCGAGACAUAGGAUGUGUUUGGUUUUGGACUUUUGUUUGUCAUUCAUUACGUUAUUAAGUUGAGUUGGCAAUGGUGAUAAUUGAUUAAUAUAAUAGUAUGUGAGCACGAGCCACACGCGGCUUGUAUUUUAAGGCUUCCAAUAUUCUGAAUUUCUGAUUUCUGAGUAGAAAAUGCAUUAUGCAGUACAAGCUCCAACUCUAAACCUUUUCAACAUUGCAGCAAGUUGGUGUAUGACUUCAUUUAAAAUAACUUAGUUGAGUUUAUCUUAUAAGCAUAAGUGAUUAUGAAGAUGUUUGGGAAAACUUAUGUAAAUAGCUUAUAGUUUAUUACUAUAAGCUAUUUUGAGCUUAGUUUCAUAAGUUGUUUAGAUUAGCUUAUGAAUAAAAGUUUAUGCUUAUCUAUAACAUAUUUUCAAUUUAUUUCAAUAAAUUCCUCAAAUUAACUUAUAAAUAAGCACUUACGCAAUAAGUGCUUAUUGUUAUAAGCUCUUAAUUAAGUUUUUUACCCGAACGUAUCUUAUGUUUGUUUUUACAAUGCAAACGUAGCCAUAAGAUACCAGUGAAGAAGAAUUUGACAUUUUAAGUUCAACAUGAAUCGCGAAUCGCAAAAUCAAAAUUUUACGAACAUUGAAUUUAAUAAGGAUUAGCAUUGACAUCAAAUUUGGCAUGUAAAGUUCAACAUAGAUAGCAAAAUCAAAAUUUUACCACGUUGAAUUUAAUAUGGAUGAGACUUCAAUGAAAAUCCAAAGACAUGCACGUUUCCUUUACUUCUGUUUUGUUCUCUAAAGCAAGUCAAUUGCCAAGUGAUUUUGAAAGACAUUAGGAACUUCCAUGCAUUUGCGCCCCUAUGCAUUAGGAUUUUAUGUUCAUAAUGAUCAUUUUCUUUGACAAAUCAACCUUUAAAUUCAGGCAAUGUAAGAUUACAUCAUUAACAACCACCAAGUGUAAAAUUUGAGCAAUAAUACAUCUACACACAUACUACAUGAAUUGAAGAUCAUAAACUAAAAACUCAACUAGUGGAUUUUUUCCCACAGGUUAUAUAAAAAGUUCUCUCCAAAAUUCCGUGAUCCAAUCCAAUUCUUCCUAAUAAAGUUUUCAUAUAUGCAAAUGUCAUUUUUCCUAUAAAAUCUUUGUCCAUCAUAGCUUCUGAAUGAACAAAGGUAAGAACCAUGUAUUGCAAAUCACAUGCUAAUUCACAACACUCCUAGUACAAUAAAGAUGGAUGAAGCUGGAAGAUGCACAAGCAGGAAUCUCCUUUUCACCAAUUUGAGCAUCUAGAUCAUACAAACAAUGAAAUAUACUUCAA